rnacentral:rRNA from 1 species
AUUGAACGCUAGCGGGAUGCUUUACACAUGCAAGUCGAACGAGUGGCGGACGGGUGAGUAAUAUAUCGGAACGUGCCCAGUAGAGGGGGAUAACUACUCGAAAGAGUGUCUAAUACCGCAUCCUAUUGGAGCGGCCCCUAUCGGAUUAGCUAGUUGGUGGGGUAAAGGCUCACCAAGGCAACGAUCCGUAGCUGGUUUGACAGGCCGACAAGCGACACUGGAAGUGAGACAGGGCCCGGACUCCUACGGGAGGGGGCAGUGGGGAAUUUUGGACAGUGGGGGGAACCCUGAUCCAGCCAUCCCGCGUGUAUGAGAAGGCCUUCGGGUUGGAAAGUACUUUUUGCGGAGAAACGGUAUCUGCAGAAUAAGCACCGGCUAACUACGUGCCAGCCGCCGCGGUAAUAC